rnacentral:rRNA from 1 species
CAAUAGCGUAUAUUUAAGUUGUUGCAGUUAAAAAGCUCGUAGUUGGAUUUCGGUUAAGAGCGACCGGUCCGCCGUUUGGUGUGCACUGGUUGGUUUUAACUUCCUGUAGAGGACGUGCUCUGGGUUUAACGACCUGGACUCGGAGUCUACGUGGUUACUUUGAAAAAAUUAGAGUGUUCAAAGCGGGCUUACGCUUGAAUAUUUCAGCAUGGAAUAACACUAUAGGACCCCUGUCCUAUUUCGUUGGUCUCGGGACGGGAGUAAUGAUUAAGAGGAACAGUUGGGGGCAUUCGUAUUUCAUUGUCAGAGGUGAAAUUCUUGGAUUUAUGAAAGACGAACUUCUGCGAAAGCAUUUGCCAAGGAUGUUUUCAUUAA